AGAACGAACGCUGGCGGCAUGCCUAAUACAUGCAAGUCGAACGAACUCUUCGGAGUUAGUGGCGCACGGGUGCGUAACGCGUGGGAAUCUGCCCCUUGGUUCGGAAUAACAGUUGGAAACGACUGCUAAUACCGGAUGAUGACGAAAGUCCAAAGAUUUAUCGCCAAGGGAUGAGCCCGCGUAGGAUUAGCUAGUUGGUGAGGUAAAGCUCACCAAGGCAACGAUCCUUAGCUGGUCUGAGAGGAUGAUCAGACCACACGUGGGACUAGGAGACGACGGCCCCAGACCUCCGUAACGGGAGCGAGCGAGGUACGGGAAUAGUUGGAACUAAG
rnacentral:rRNA from 1 species